rnacentral:rRNA from 1 species
AUUGAACGCUGGCGGCAUGCCUUACACAUGCAAGUCGAACGGUAACAGGUCUUCGGCUGCUGAUGAGUGGCGACCGGUUGAGUAAUACAUCGGAACGUACCCGAACGUGGGGUUUAAUGGGGCGUAACCUUUGCUAAUACCCCCUACUACCUCCGACGACCUGCGGGGGAUCUCCGGACCUCUUCCGACCUUGCCGGCCGAUGGCAGAUUAUGUAGUUGGUGGUAUAAAGGCUUACCAAGCCGACGAUCUGUAGCUGGUCUGAGAGGAUGAUCAGCCACACUGGGACUGAGACACGGCCCAGACUCCUACGGGAGGCAGCAGUGGGGAAUUUUGGACAAUGGGCGAAAGCCUGAUCCAGCCAUGCCGCGUGCAGGAUGAAGGCCUUCGGGUUGUAAAGUGCUUUUGUACGGAACGAAAAGCAUCAGGCUAAUAAAGAGGGGUCAUGACGGUACCGUAAGAAUAAGCACCGGCUAACUACGUG